rnacentral:rRNA from 1 species
GACGAACGCUGGCGGCGUGCUUAAUACAUGCAAGUCGAACGGACAGGCGCGGCUUUUGUGGGGUGCUCGAGUGGCGAACGGGGGAGUAACACGUGAGUAACCUGCCCUUGACUUUGGGAUAACUUUACGAAACUGGGGCUAAUAUCGCAUAGGAUCUCCUGCAGCAUGGUGGGGGUUGGAGAGUUUCGGUGGUGGGGGAUGGACUCGCGGCUUAUGAGCUUCUUGGUCGGGUAGUGGCGUACCAAGCGUGCGACGGGUAGCCGGCAUUGGAGGGUUGACGGGCACAAGAGGACUGAGAUACGCACCAGUAUGCUACGGGAGGCAGCAGUGGGGAACAUUGCAGAACGGGCGGAAGUCUGAGGCAGCAACGCUGCGUUCGGGAUGCUGUGCUUCGGGGUGUAAACCGCUGUCUACUGUAAUGUAGCGUGAUUGACGGUACUUGGUAAGGAAGCACCGGCUAACUACGUG